UACAGAGGGUGCAAGCGUUGUUCGGAAUUAUUGGGCGUAAGGGCGCGUAGGCGGUGCUGUAAGUCUGUAGUGAAAUCUCUGGGCUCAACUCAGAGUCUGCUAUAGAAACUGCAGUGCUAGAGUGUGGGAGAGGUGAGUGGAAUUCCCGGUGUAGCGGUGAAAUGCGUAGAUAUCGGAGGAACACCUGUGGCGAAAGCGGCUCACUGGACCACAACUGACGCUGAGGCGCGAAAGCUAGGGGAGCAACAGG
rnacentral:rRNA from 1 species